GUGGGGAAUAUUGGACAAUGGGCGAAAGCCUGAUCCAGCCAUGCCGCGUGUGUGAAGAAGGUCUUCGGAUUGUAAAGCACUUUAAGUUGGGAGGAAGGGCAGUAAGUUAAUACCUUGCUGUUUUGACGUUACCAACAGAAUAAGCACCGGCUAACUUCGUGCCAGCAGCCGCGGUAAUACGAAGGGUGCAAGCGUUAAUCGGAAUUACUGGGCGUAAAGCGCGCGUAGGUGGUUUUGUAAGUUGGAGGUGAAAUCCCCGGGCUCAACCUGGGAACUGCCUCCAAAACUGCAUGACUAGAGUACGGUAGAGGGUAGUGGAAUUUCCUGUGUAGCGGUGAAAUGCGUAGAUAUAGGAAGGAACACCAGUGGCGAAGGCGACUACCUGGACUGAUACUGACACUGAGGUGCGAAAGCGUGGGGAGCAAACAGGAUUAGAAACCCCUGUAUCC
rnacentral:rRNA from 1 species